GAUGAACGCUAGCUACAGGCUUAACACAUGCAAGUCGAGGGGCAGCAUGAAGUUUGCUUGCAAACUUUGAUGGCGACCGGCGCACGGGUGCGUAACAGGUGUGCAAUCUGUCCAUAGUCGGGAAUAGCCCAGCGAAAGUUGGAUUAAAGCUCCAUGUGAGUGAACGCCGCAUGACGAUCACUUGAAACGUAAGGACUAUGGGUGAGCACGCUUCUGAUUAGAUAGUUGGUGAGGUAACGGCUCACCAAGUCGACGAUGCGUAGGGGUUCUGAGAGGAAGGUCCCCCACACUGGUACUGAGACACGGACCAGACUCC
rnacentral:rRNA from 1 species